rnacentral:lncRNA from 1 species
UGACACACCAAAUCACAUUUCUUGAAUGCAUUUGAUACUUCUCAGAGUUUUUCAAAUGUUCUUAACAGUAGUAACAAGCUGAUUCUAUGAAUAUGGAUAGGUAUAGAGAUUCAAAGUAAUACUGUUAACAAUUUCUGAAAUUGGGAAGGAAAGGAUCUUUACUAGAUAAAUCAUCAAAAGAGGCUAAGGAGAUGUGGUUAUGAUCCAUAGCCUUGCAUUUUUUCUCUCUGCACCAUUUUGCUAAUUUCUUUCAAAGAUAGAGAUUGGACUUCUUAUUUUCUCUACAAUUAGGGAAAAACCUUUAAUGAGUACCUUAAGGUGUUUGACAAAGCCAAAUGUGGGGACACAUUGGUGCCACUAUUUUUGAGUUUUUUAGAACUGAUAAGUUCUUUAGAAGACAGAAUAUUCUUUUUUGCAAGUUCUUUGUAGGGUCUUUAUCUAAAGUCAUGUUACACACUUUAAUUUUGUUUGUUACACAACAGAUGAAAGAUGUACAAAUGGUUUUUCAAAAUUUUCUUAUCUUCCCUUCUUUCUUUAGGUUUCAACUACCCCAUUCUUUUUAUUCAA